rnacentral:rRNA from 1 species
CAGCACCUCAAGUGGUCAGGAUGAUUACUGGGCCUAAAGCAUCCGUAGCCGGCGCUGUAAGUUUUCGGUUAAAUCUGUACGCUCAACGUACAGGCUGCCGGGAAUACUGCAGCGCUAGGGAGUGGGAGAGGUAGACGGUACUCGGUAGGAAGGGGUAAAAUCCUUUGAUCUAUUGAUGACCACCUGUGGCGAAGGCGGUCUACCAGAACACGUCCGACGGUGAGGGAUGAAAGCUGGGGGAGCAAACCGGAUUAGAUACCCGAGUAGUCC